GGAUCGUUUAUGACUUCCACACAUACAUUCCUUGGAAAUCUGAACAAAAUGAGUGAGAAACCCCUACUGUCUCUCUUAGCAACCUGAGGUCC
ensembl:snoRNA SNORD116 Small nucleolar RNA SNORD116